rnacentral:lncRNA from 1 species
UAGAAAAGGUAUCUUUAGCACAAACAUUCACAAAAUAUAAAUUUGAAAGAGGACUCUUAGCAAAAUUACUAGGAGAAAGUGAAAGUCUUAUGCAAACUUUUAAAAGAAAAGACUUUCAUCUAAUUUUUAAUUUAAUUUUCAUUUUAUAAAAGCCAGGAGGGGUCUAAGGCACUCAUUCUUGGCGUGUGCUUCUUUUGACCACCAGGUGUCAGACUUUCACUGCAAAUUUAUACUCCUUCCCAGCACUCUCGACCCUGCUUUUUUACUUAUAAAUGCUUUCCAUUGUGAAAUCAUUUCUAUUUUCAAUUCCAGCACGCCACUUAAAAUUUUGUGUCUGAACAAGAAUCCGAAGACAUUGAUUGUAGCUCUUUCAGCACUGACAGUUAUCCCUCACUGAAUUCGUGAAAUAUGCUUUUGGAGCCCUUCUCCUUCGAGCUUCAGCUGAACGUAUUUGUCACUGACUUGGCUCUUUAAUGUUGCAAGAUCUCCUUUAAGAAGCAGCUUCCUCAGUCUGAGCCCUUUUAAUGAAGACCCACGUAUGUAUUAGUGAAUAAAACUUUGCUUUCUCUUGAUAGCAGAUCCUCCAUCCUCAGUAUUGAGACUCUGCUGAAACCUUGAAUACGUGUCAAAGAUUCAUUUUAUGAUCCUGAGAUUGGUUUGGCUUUCCGUGAUUUACGCAGGGCCUCUGCUUACAAUAAUUGAUUCAUUCCAUACUUAAAACCCACUGAUCUCAUUACAAUUACAGGGAGGCAUUUUAGCUGUUGCCAUGCAGACUGAUAUCAAAGAAAAAAAGAAAGAGGC